rnacentral:tRNA from 1 species
UAGGUAAAAGUUCGCUGGAUUGAACGCUUAGCUGUUAACUGAGACGUCGUAGGAUCGAAGCCUACUUAUCUAU